rnacentral:tRNA from 1 species
GGGGCUGAAGCUCAGUGGUAGAGCGCUCGCCUAGCAUGCGUGAGACACUGGGUUCGGUCCUCAGCACCA